CAUCGCGAAUCUCGACAAACGUAGGGGUGGAAGUGCAUCCCCACCUCUGCGCAGCAAAAAUAAACUACGUUCGCCAAAUCAGGGACAAUCGAGAAUUCCAACUCCGAGUCCUCCGGCGUUCGUGAAUCACCGAGUAUUGCGACAUUACGACGCAAUCGAUGGCUCGAUAUCCGAGGCUUCGAAUCAAAUUCGAUCCGCAUUGUUGCGCAAACUGCGCGAAGUUUGGGCACAACAUCCACGAAACGUAAUUGAAAUUUCGAGUCGUUCGAAAAAUUCGUCCCCAUCAACCGGUUCAUCGAUCGACUCGAAACUGCUGGAUUUAGGCUCGAGAAUUCCAUUGCCACGAAAAUUUUCAAGAGGUCGACCAUCCCAAUGAGUACUCGAGUUUGAAAUAAUCAUCGACGAGUCCCCGACAAUGUCCAUCUUCUCGCAAUGAAUUUAAAUUUGAUCUGUUG